GCCCCAACCGGAGCCGCGGCCCUGGAAAGGAAAGGGGCGUGAGAGGGGCAGGGCCUACCCCUUUGCGCCGCAGGGACCCCGGAAUGGACCUGACGUUGGGCUGAGCACUGACCUUAGAAGCUUCAAAACUACCAGAUAAAAUUGAACAGGGAUGAAAUUGCUCCCCAUGACCUGAGAAUUGACCCGGAACGUUGUUUCCAGGAUUUGGAGUCCAAGGGGCAGAGGAUCCUCAAACCUCACUUUGAGAAACUUUCCACUGUCCUAUAUCGUCUGGUGUCAUUCACUUAAUCUGAGAGUUCUAAGGCCAGAACUACAUUUCCCAGGAUCCCUUGCAGCUAGAACACAAGCAUGUGACUCCACCAAUCAGAUGCACCAUUGUGAGAAGGCACCUGGAAGAAUUCUUUCCUAGGGACCUCAGGGGAGCAGUCAUUGAGAUCUCAGGGCAGCAGGCGCAGAGGAGGUGGUGUCCUAUCUCAGUAGCUAAAGUAACAAUGGCACCUUCACUCCAGCAGUGGUGGGAAAAUGAUUUGCGUAUUGUUCCAGGCUGUAGAACCUCCAGGUAUGAUCUUCUGGCCUUCCUAGAAAUUCUG